ACGGAGACCACACUGGAACCACACCGCACUCUUCCUUUCGGCAAGGACCAGCCCUACUUUGCAUCUGAUUGGCUAGAACUUGUUUCAUUGGUAGGUGGAAGUUCGAUGAUUGGUUAAACCCAGCGGAU